rnacentral:rRNA from 1 species
CAAUAGCGUAUAUUAAAGUUGUUGCAGUUAAAAAGCUCGUAGUUGGAUUUCUGGCAGGAGCGACCGGUCACGCACUCUGUGCGUGAACUUGUGUUGUCUCUGGCCAUCCUCGGGGAGAUCCUGUUUGGCAUUAAGUUGUCGGGCAGGGGAUACCCGUCGUUUACUGUGAAAAAAUUAGAGUGUUUAAAGCAGGCUUAUGCCGUUGAAUAUAUUAGCAUGGAAUAAUAAGAUAGGACUUCGGAACUAUUUUGUUGGUUUGCGUUACGAAGUAAUGAUUAAUAGGGACAGUUGGGGGUAUUCGUAUUUCGUUGUCAGAGGUGAAAUUCUUGGAUUUCCGAAAGACGAACUACUGCGAAAGCAUUUACCAAGGAUGUUUNCAUUAA